rnacentral:rRNA from 1 species
GUGCCAGCAGCCGCGGUAAGACGAACCGUCCAAACGUUAUUCGGAAUCACUGGGCUUAAAGGGUGCGUAGGCGGUCCGGGAAGUUGGGUGUGAAAGCCCUCGGCUCAACCGAGGAAUUGCGUCCAAAACUGCCGGACUUGAGGGAGACAUAGGUGAGCGGAACUUAGGGUGGAGCGGUGAAAUGCGUUGAGAUCCUAAGGAACACCAGUAGCGAAAGCGGCUCACUGGGUCUCUUCUGACGCUGAUGCACGAAAGCUAGGGGAGCGAAGAGGAUUAGAAACCCCUGUAGUCC